UUCUAAUUGAAGCUGAUGUAACAGCAACUGCAGCCGACAUGGAAAGAAAUGGAUUACCGGAUUCACCCGCACUGAUCUUUCAAGGUGAAUCCAUGACCCCAAGCAAG